rnacentral:tRNA from 1 species
AGCCGGGUCGUCUAGUGGUCAAGGAUGGUGGGCUUUGGACCCAUCGACCCCGGUUCGAAUCCGGGCCCGGCUACCA